UUCUCCGCCUCUUAUCUCCAUCUCUCUCUGCAAACCCUAAUUUCUCCCCUUUCCCCAAUCUAAACCUUCAUCUUCAAUCACUCUCGGAAACUCCAAUUUCAUAACCCAAAUCUCCAGUUUCUUACUCAAUUCACUCUAAAUAUAUAAAUUCUUACCCCCAAAACCAUGUUCUGAUAUUCUAAUCGACCCUGAAUCUCAAUUUUAAGAACUAAAAUACAGCUUCUAGCCGGAAAAAAAGGAAGAAUAACCUAGUGGUACGGUGAAUCUAGAUACUAAAUCUCUGUCAUUAACGUUUCCUUCUUCUUCGCUUUCUUCACUUAAAUGAAAUCUAGGAUGUUUAGAGAGAUCUAUGAGGCUAAGUCAAGAAAGAAACAACAGAUGUACGAAGUUUGCUUUGCCGAGAAGAGUAGGUCGAAGAAAUAAAGCUUCUGUUGCUGAAUUAAUGGAUAAGUGGGAGAAUGAAGGUGGUGAUUGAAGUUACAGAGAUAGGUUCACUGGAUAUUAGGGGUUUGAGAAGAUUGAAGUGAUGAGAAAUCAAGAGCUGAUGGUGGUGGUUAUUAUAAUGAAGAAAUUAUGAUAUUGGUGAAAUUCAAAUUGUAGAUGAAGAAUUGAAGCUCAAGCUUGGAAGAAGCUCGAACUUGAUUUCGAGUUGGUGUUGCUGAUUAGAAUGGAAUGGUUGUUGGUUAGCUCGAACCUGAUUUUCUGUAAUUUCUCCUUUUUUCUUCUUAAUUUCUCAUCAUUUUUAUUUAGAUUUUAGAAUUCUGUUGAUUUCUUGAACAAAAACCAUGAAUUUUAUAGGGUUUUAUAUGAAUUUGAUAGUGAUGAUUUUGAUUGUUACACAGGCAGUUUAAGACUGAAAUGUUGGGUUGCAGUUAACUGUCAAGGUAAAAUGGGUUUGAUUUAGUGGUUGUGGAAUUGAAUUCUGGUGGUGAGAGAAAGUUGAUUUUGGAGAUAUUGAUGAUGAAUUAGAAGAUGGGUUAAACUCAGAUUUGAGUUUGGUGGUGUUCUCGAUUUGCAGGUAGAGAGAUGGAUGAGAGGUUGCAGGAUGGUAAAGUUUGAUAAUUGUUUUUCUUACUUUGCAGGUAGAGAGAUGGAUGAGGUCCUUGUACAGUUUGAUAAUUGUUAUUUUUACUUUGAUGUGAUCUCACUAUUUCUUCCUUAUGUUUGAUUGAGCUGGUGUUUCAGAAAAAUGAUUGUCUGACUUUGCCUCCCCGUUCAAAUGCAAGGAAUUUGCAUCUUAAAUUAAAGGAUUUAGGCAUGCCUGUUGAACUCAUUGGCGGGCGCAUUAAGCUGACCGAUACAUUUUGUGUGUGUGAAGAGGGAGUACGUGUGACAGAGAAUGCCACUAAAAUUCUGUUUGGACCUGCCGAGUUGUUGGUGAAUGGGUAUCUCAGGCAGUAGAUGUAUGUUAGGACAGGUACCAAUUACAGGUGUUGAGAUUAUGUAUGUUAGGACAUGUACCAAUUACAGGUGCUGAGAUUAUAUCACAGCAAGGUGCAAUGGUUGUUCUGCAGAGAAUGGUUAGGUCAUGAAGGAGAUGUUGUGAUGCAGGUGGAGUUGAUAUUGCUGCUUGUCAGGAUGGUACUGCACAGGAUUGUGCAAGUGAUGCAGAUGCAGAUUUGGGGAUGGUUGAGCUGAGAACUAGAGUGGCUGUGAAUUAUGAACACUAGAGAUGAUGAGAGUCUGCUAGGUUGAGAAAGUGAAUCUGGUGGGUGCUUAUGUUGUGAAGGUGGUGGUCUGAGACAUUGCAGGUGGACUGUGGAGUGAAAAUGGAGGUGUUGGCGGCCUAUCGUGUUCAAGGGUUACAACUGCUGAGACAGUGAUAAGAUUGUGUGAGUGAUGGCAAAGAAUAUGAACUGGCUGUGUGUUGCAGAAGCUACAACAAUGAUUUGAAUUGGGACUGACAGAGAUGGAGGUAGUUGCAAUGAGUAGUUGAAUGGGAUGUGUAUGAACUAGAUAUAUGCUUAGGGUUGCAGUGUAUGAAACUGAGCUGCAGGUGCUGGUGCAAUUCUGGUAAUACUGUAAUACAGAUUUGAGCUGGUAGAAGAAAAUUUAUGUAUUGUGUUUCUGGUAAAUAGAUGGUUAUUAAAGUAUUACAGAUUUAAUUUUGUA